CCUACGGGACGCAGCAGUGGGGAAUAUUGCACAAUGGGGGAAACCCUGAUGCAGCAACGCCGCGUGAGUGAAGAAGGUUUUCGGAUUGUAAAGCUCUGUUAGCAGGGAAGAGGAAGGACGGUACCUGCAGAGGAAGCCACGGCUAACUACGUGCCAGCAGCCGCGGUAAUACGUAGGGUGCGAGCGUUAAUCGGAAUUACUGGGCGUAAAGGGUGCGCAGGCGGUUGAGUAAGACAGAUGUGAAAUCCCCGAGCUUAACUCGGGAAUGGCAUAUGUGACUGCUCGACUAGAGUGUGUCAGAGGGG
rnacentral:rRNA from 1 species